UACACUGUGUUUGUUACUUUGUUUGUGUACAUUUUGUUUUUGUAAAAUUCAGUGAAGGCUCUGCCCAGCCUUAACAGUUUUUGUGUUUUGUUUAAACCUUCAUUUUGGCCCUUGUGCCCUUUUUGUUUAUAUUUGGUGUUAUUUCGUUUAUUAAAUAUGUGCUUUGGCACCCAAACUGCAGCUUCCUGGCGUGUGAGUCUCUGUCUCACCGCUAUCCUAUCACAUGUGGUGUCCUGCGUGGGAUAAAAACGCCUCCAGGACUCAGAGCAGUUUGGCGUAUUUGUGACAAUGUCAAGACCUUUACAUCAACACUGCUGACAACAUCAUUGUUAACAGCCCAGGUCAUGAGAAUGAGUAGAUAACAGCUGCAGCCACAGAGCCAGCACACAACCCGGAACACGCCUCUCGCAGCACAACACGGACACGCACCACCAUCCAUAGUUUCAUGCACCGGGAUAAAACAUAACGUGCAUUUAUGAUUUAUUUUGUUUGGGACUGUAAUCCCACUGUGUACCCCCGAUACCAUCACUGGUAAAGGGGCGGCUUAAUUGUUUAAUUAAAAUAAACA